CCCGUCCGGCCGCUCCGCAGUGGGGACCCCGGUGUCACAUCGUCCGAGAGGGAGGUCGGUGUGUGUGUGUGUGUGUGUGUGUGUGUGUGUGUGUGUGUGUGUGUGUGUGUGUGAGAGUGAGUGUGUGUGUGUGUGUGUGUGUGUGUGUGUGUGUGUGUGUGUGUGUGU